rnacentral:sRNA from 1 species
AUAUAAUUUAAAUAUUAAAUGAGUUUCUUAAAUUUAGAGAAAUCUAUCCCAAUUGUCUCUUAAUAAAUAGACUUAGGGCUUGAUUGGUUCUCCCUCUGCGAUCCGCAAAUGCAGCGUCUGCGGGUGGUAGCGGUGUUAGCGAUUGGCACCAAUCAUAAAAACCGUUAGAUACCGCUUUGGACCGCUCGAAAUUGCCAGAUUUCAAAAGCUCCUUCCCGCAAGCGUUUGCGGUUGCAGACGGUAGCGGUUAGGUUAAAAAAAUUAAU